rnacentral:rRNA from 1 species
UACGGGGGGGCAAGCGUUGUUCGGAAUUACUGGGCGUAAAGGGCUCGUAGGUGGCCAACUAAGUCAUACGUGAAAUCCCUCGGCUUAAUCGGGGAACUGCGUCUGAUACUGGAUGGCUCGAGUUUGGGAGAGGGAUGCGGAAUUCCAGGUGUAGCGGUGAAAUGCGUAGAUAUCUGGAGGAACACCGGUGGCGAAGGCGGCAUCCUGGACCAACACUGACGCUGAGGAGCGAAAGCCAGGGGAGCAAACGGG